rnacentral:rRNA from 1 species
GGAAAAAAAUUAAUAAAAUAAAAUUAAUAAAAAAAUUUUUACUUAAAAAUAUAUUAUAAUGGGGGUUAAAGUAUAUUUGAUAGAAAAAAUGUUAAUUUUUAUAGUUAAAUAGUAUUGUAUAAGAAUUUUUAAAUAUUUGAAAAUAAAUUUAGUAAAAAGUAAAUUUAAUAUUGUAUCUUGUGUAUCAGAGUUUAUUAAAUAAAAAAAUUUAUUUAAAUAAAUCUCGAAUUUAAAAGAGAUAAUUAAUUAAAAAAGUUAAUGUUGAAUAAUUAUUUUUAAUAAUUAAUUUGAAGUGAAAUGUUAAUCGUUUUUAAAUAUAUCUAGUUUUUUUAGAAAAAAAUUUAAUUUUAAAUUAAAAUAAUUUUAUAAUUUAUUAAUUAAUUAUGAAAAUUUAAAAUUUAAUAUUUUAAGGGAUAAGCUUUAAAUUAAAUUUUUAUAAUAAGUAUAUUUUUAAUUAAAAUUUUUAAAAUUUAUAUUGUUUAUAAAUUAUAAUUUUUUAUAAAUAAUUUUAAUUAAAUUAAAAUUUAAUUAAUUAAUAAUUUAAUUUUUUAUAAAAUAAAUAUUUUUUAAUAAAAAAAAAAUAUAAAUAAUGAUAAAAUUAGUAUAAUAAUAUUAAUGAAAAAGAAUAAAUUUAAUAAUAGUUAAAUUUAAGGAAUUCGGCAAAAAUUUAUAUUCACUUGUUUAUCAAAAACAUGUCUUUUUGAUUAAUAAUUUAAAGUCUAAUCUGCCCACUGAUAUAAUAUUAAAGGGCUGCAGUAUAUUGACUGUACAAAGGUAGCAUAAUCAUUAGUCUUUUAAUUGAAGACUUGUAUGAAAGAUUUAAUGAAAUAUAAACUGUCUCAAUUUUAUUAAGUAGAAUUUAAUUUUUUAGUUAAAAAGCUAAAAUGAUAUUAAAAGACGAGAAGACCCUAUAGAGUUUUAUAAAUAAUUAAAUUUUAUUUAAUUAUAUAAAUAAAUUAAAUAAAUUUAAUUAUUUAUUGUAUUGGGGUGAUAAAAAAAUUAAUAAAACUUUUUUUAAAUACAACAUAAAUAAAUGAUUAAUUGAUCCAUUAAUAAUGAUUAUAAGAAAAAAUUACCUUAGGGAUAACAGCGUAAUAUUUUUUUUUAGUACAAAUAAAAAAAAAAGUUUGCGACCUCGAUGUUGGAUUAAGAUAAAAUUUGAAUGCAAAAGUUUAAAAUUUUGAUCUGUUCGAUCAUUAAAAUCUUACAUGAUCUGAGUUCAAACCGGUGUGAGCCAGGUUGGUUUCUAUCUUUAAUAAAAUUUAAUAUUUUAGUACGAAAGGAUCAAAUAUUAAAAAUAAUUUUAAAUUUAAGAAUAUUAUUAAUAAAAAUUUAAACUAUUUUGGCAGAUAAUUGUAA